UACGAAGGGGGGCUAGCGUUGCUCGGAAUCACUGGGCGUAAAGGGUGCGUAGGCGGGUUUUUAAGUCAGGGGUGAAAUCCUGGAGCUCAACUCCAGAACUGCCUUUGAUACUGAAGAUCUUGAGUCCGGGAGAGGUGAGUGGAACUGCGAGUGUAGAGGUGAAAUUCGUAGAUAUUCGCAAGAACACCAGUGGCGAAGGCGGCUCACUGGCCCGGUACUGACGCUGAGGCACGAAAGCGUGGGGAGCGAUCCGG
rnacentral:rRNA from 1 species